rnacentral:rRNA from 1 species
UUAAGCGACUAAGCGUACACGGUGGAUGCCCUGGCAGUCAGAGGCGAUGAAGGACGUGCUAAUCUGCGAAAAGCGUCGGUAAGGUGAUAUGAACCGUUAUAGCCGGCGAUGUCCGAAUGGGGAAACCCAGUGUGAUUCGUCACACUAUCGUUAACUGAAUACAUAGGUUAACGAGGCGAACCGGGGGAACUGAAACAUCUAAGUACCCCGAGGAAAAGAAAUCAACCGAGAUUCCCCCAGUAGCGGCGAGCGAACGGGGAGCAGCCCAGAGUCUGAAUCAGCUUGUGUGUUAGUGGAACGGUCUGGAAAGUCCGACGGUACAGGGUGAUAGUCCCGUACACCAAAAUGCACAGGCUGUGAACUCGAAGAGUAGGGCGGGACACGUGGUAUCCUGUCUGAAUAUGGGGGGACCAUCCUCCAAGGCUAAAUACUCCUGACUGACCGAUAGUGAACCAGUACCGUGAGGGAAAGGCGAAAAGAACCCCGGCGAGGGGAGUGAAAAAGAACCUGAAACCGUGUACGUACAAGCAGUGGGAGCACCUUCGGGUGUGACUGCGUACCUUUUGUAUAAUGGGUCAGCGACUUAUAUUCUGUAGCAAGGUUAACCGUAUAGGGGAGCCGCAGGGAAACCGAGUCUUAACUGGGCGUUAAGUUGCAGGGUAUAGACCCGAAACCCGGUGAUCUAGCCAUGGGCAGGUUGAAGGUUGGGUAACACUAACUGGAGGACCGAACCGACUAAUGUUGAAAAAUUAGCGGAUGACUUGUGGCUGGGGGUGAAAGGCCAAUCAAACCGGGAGAUAGCUGGUUCUCCCCGAAAGCUAUUUAGGUAGCGCCUCGUGAACUCAUCUUCGGGGGUAGAGCACUGUUUCGGCUAGGGGGUCAUCCCGACUUACCAACCCGAUGCAAACUACGAAUACCGAAGAAUGUUAUCACGGGAGACACACGGCGGGUGCUAACGUCCGUCGUGAAGAGGGAAACAACCCAGACCGCCAGCUAAGGUCCCAAAGUCAUGGUUAAGUGGGAAACGAUGUGGGAAGGCACAGACAGCCAGGAUGUUGGCUUAGAAGCAGCCAUCAUUUAAAGAAAGCGUAAUAGCUCACUGGUCGAGUCGGCCUGCGCGGAAGAUGUAACGGGGCUAAACCAUGCACCGAAGCUGCGGCAGCGACACUAUGUGUUGUUGGGUAGGGGAGCGUUCUGUAAGCCUGCGAAGGUGUGCUGUGAGGCAUGCUGGAGGUAUCAGAAGUGCGAAUGCUGACAUAAGUAACGAUAAAGCGGGUGAAAAGCCCGCUCGCCGGAAGACCAAGGGUUCCUGUCCAACGUUAAUCGGGGCAGGGUGAGUCGACCCCUAAGGCGAGGCCGAAAGGCGUAGUCGAUGGGAAACAGGUUAAUAUUCCUGUACUUGGUGUUACUGCGAAGGGGGGACGGAGAAGGCUAUGUUAGCCGGGCGACGGUUGUCCCGGUUUAAGCAUGUAGGCUGGUUGUCCAGGCAAAUCCGGAUAAUCAAGGCUGAGGUGUGAUGACGAGGCACUACGGUGCUGAAGUAACAAAUGCCCUGCUUCCAGGAAAAGCCUCUAAGCAUCAGGUAACAUCAAAUCGUACCCCAAACCGACACAGGUGGUCAGGUAGAGAAUACCAAGGCGCUUGAGAGAACUCGGGUGAAGGAACUAGGCAAAAUGGUGCCGUAACUUCGGGAGAAGGCACGCUGGUGUGUAGGUGAAGUCCCUGCGGAUGGAGCUGAGACCAGUCGAAGAUACCAGCUGGCUGCAACUGUUUAUUAAAAACACAGCACUGUGCAAACACGAAAGUGGACGUAUACGGUGUGACGCCUGCCCGGUGCCGGAAGGUUAAUUGAUGGGGUUAUCCGUAAGGAGAAGCUCUUGAUCGAAGCCCCGGUAAACGGCGGCCGUAACUAUAACGGUCCUAAGGUAGCGAAAUUCCUUGUCGGGUAAGUUCCGACCUGCACGAAUGGCGUAAUGAUGGCCAGGCUGUCUCCACCCGAGACUCAGUGAAAUUGAACUCGCUGUGAAGAUGCAGUGUACCCGCGGCAAGACGGAAAGACCCCGUGAACCUUUACUAUAGCUUGACACUGAACAUUGAGCCUUGAUGUGUAGGAUAGGUGGGAGGCUUUGAAGCGUGGACGCCAGUCUGCGUGGAGCCAACCUUGAAAUACCACCCUUUAAUGUUUGAUGUUCUAACGUUGGCCCCUGACCGGGGUUGCGGACAGUGUCUGGUGGGUAGUUUGACUGGGGCGGUCUCCUCCCAAAGCGUAACGGAGGAGCACGAAGGUUAGCUAAUCCUGGUCGGACAUCAGGAGGUUAGUGCAAUGGCAUAAGCUAGCUUGACUGCGAGCGUGACGGCGCGAGCAGGUGCGAAAGCAGGUCAUAGUGAUCCGGUGGUUCUGAAUGGAAGGGCCAUCGCUCAACGGAUAAAAGGUACUCCGGGGAUAACAGGCUGAUACCGCCCAAGAGUUCAUAUCGACGGCGGUGUUUGGCACCUCGAUGUCGGCUCAUCACAUCCUGGGGCUGAAGUAGGUCCCAAGGGUAUGGCUGUUCGCCAUUUAAAGUGGUACGCGAGCUGGGUUUAGAACGUCGUGAGACAGUUCGGUCCCUAUCUGCCGUGGGCGCUGGAGAAUUGAGGGGGGCUGCUCCUAGUACGAGAGGACCGGAGUGGACGCAUCACUGGUGUUCGGGUUGUCAUGCCAAUGGCACUGCCCGGUAGCUAAAUGCGGAAGAGAUAAGUGCUGAAAGCAUCUAAGCACGAAACUUGCCCCGAGAUGAGUUCUCCCUGAGACUUUAAGUCUCCUGAAGGAACGUUAAAGACGAUGACGUUGAUAGGCCGGGUGUGUAAGCGCAGCGAUGCGUUGAGCUAACCGGUACUAAUGAACCGUGAGGCUUAACCUU